AUGCCGCCGCCCACGCCCCCACUCCUCCUCUUCCUCCUCAUCCUCCUCUCGCUCGCCGCCGCCCACGCCCACCCAACCCGCCGGCUCCUCCAGAACCAGCCCACCACCAUCCCCGCUCCACCACCACCGCACCGCCACCACCGUCACACCCCGCCGGUGUCGGGCCCUCCCUCCCCUCCGCAACCAGCACCACAGCCCCUCCCUCCGCCCCCACCUCGCGCAAGGCACCACCGCACGCCGCCCGCCUCCGCAUCNNNNNNNNNNNNNNNNNNNNNNNNNCCCGCAUCAGCGCCGCCCCCGAACUCGAACCCGAAUCCCGCCCCGUCGCCGCCGACGCCGAGGUUCUCCUCGACCUCCACCACGCCGGUGAGCGAGUACCCCUUCACCAACUACCCCUUCUUCCCCUCCUUCUCCCCGCCGCCGCCUCCACCCUCCACCGCAGACCAGCAGGCCCAGCCCUCGGCAGACGGCGACGCGUCCCGAACCUUCCCGGCCAACAUCUCCACCCUGGUGGCCCCCAACGCCGGCAGCAGCAGUAACCAGGGGCAGGGCGGGAACUCCCGCGGCAUCCCGGUGCUGCAGGCGCUGCUGCUCGCCUUCCUCUCCCUCUGCCUGCUGCUCCUCUCCGCGCUCCUCUCGCUCCACCUCUUCCGCCGCCUCCGCAGGCACCCCUCCGGCCACCGCCGCGCCGCCAACGGGGCGGCCUCCUCCACCACUACAACGGCGCGGCGGGACGCCGAGCUGGACGAGGAGGAGGACGGCGACGAGGAGGGGCGCAGGCUCAAGCCGCCGCCGAUGCCCACCUCCUCCUCCAACCCCAGCACCGAGUUCCUCUACCUCGGCACGCUCGCCACCCCGCCGCCGGGGACUGCUCCGCCCCCCUCGCAACCCCGCCCCGGCUCGCCCGAGCUCCGCCCGCUCCCGCCGCUGCCCCGCGUCGGCCCGCCCUCCGGCGAGUUCGGCUCCCGCAGCUCCGCGUCCGACCCCAGCACCGUGCCCCGCGUCGGCCCGCCCUCCGGCGAGUUCGGCUCCCGCAGCUCCGCGUCCGACCCCAGCACCGUGCCCCGCGCGGCCGCCGGCGACGCCUCGUCCUCGUCCCUCUCCCCUUCCUCCCCCUCGGCGUCCUCACCCACGCUCGGCUCCAGCCCCGUCCACAUCCGCCCGCCGUCCAUCCCGCAGCCCCGCGGCCGAGCCCCCAAACGGAGGCCGCCGCCGCCUCCACCACCAGCUCAAUCGUGGAACCCCUUCGUGCCCGUCCCGCCGGCACAAGCCGCUCCCCCCUCCGACGACGACGGCGACUCCUCCUCCACCAUUGCCGCGGCGAUGCACAAGUCCCGGCCGCUGCACUCCGACAAGCUCAACCCCGGAUCUCUGCACAUGAAGGACGAGAUGAUCCAGCUCUACCUGAACAACUCCGCCGCCGCGGCCGCAUCGGCGGCGAGGGAGGUGUGCCUGCUCGGUGCGCCGAGGUGCCACGGCAUUGGCACGGUGCUGGGUGCACUGGGUUUCUCCGAGGAGCAAGUGCGUGAUGCGCUCUUGGAAGGUAAUGCACAUGGUUUGGGAUUGGAAGCCCUGCGGAUGCUCGCUCGGUUGGUUCUCACCAAUGAGGAGGAGCUUAAGCUCAGAUAUUACAAGGAUGACCCACCUGCCAAGCUUUGCGCGGUCGAUGCCUUUCUGAAGACGAUACUGGAUGUGCCGUUUGCAUUCAAGCGAGUCGAUGCUAUGCUCUAUGUUUCUAGCUUUUAUCUGGAGGUCAAUCAGCUGAGGAUGUCCUACGCUACUCUCGAGGCAGCUUGCGAGGAGCUGAGGAGCAGCAGGCUAUUCCACAAGGUUCUUGGGGCAGUCCUCAACUUUGGCAACAUGAUGAGCAUCAACACAGGCUCUCCAAACUCACAUGCCCUGGAGCCCAACACGGUCCUGAAGAUAGUCGACGUCAAAGGCGCCGACGGCAAGGCGGCGCUCCUGCAGUUCGUCGUCCAGGAAAUCAUGAAACCCGAAGGCCACAACAAUCUGAACCCGGCAUGCAAGACGGACGCGUACGACGUCGACUGCAGGAAGCACGGCCUCCAGGUGGUCUCGAAGCUCGCCGCCGAGCUGACCAGCACCAAGAAGGCGGCGUCGGUCGACAUGACGGGCCUCAGCCGGAGCGUGUCGGAGCUCGGCGUCGGCCUCGGGAAGGUCCAUGACGUGCUGAGGCUGAACGGCAUGGCGGCCUCGGCCGAGAGCGCCCGGCGGUUCCACAACGCGAUGAGUGCGUUCCUGCGGCAGGCCGAGGAGGAGAUCGUCAGGCUCCAGGGCCAGGAGAGCGUGUGCCUGUCGUCGGUGCGGGAGAUGGCGGAGUACUUCCAUGGCGGCGAUGAGGUCGGCGACGGCGAGGCUCGCUUGUUCAGGGUCUUUGCGGGUGUCCGGGAGUUCGUGGCCAUGCUCGACCGGAUCUGCAGGGAGGCCGGGGAGGUCCAGGGCGACCGUGUCGGCUCGACGCCGGUGAGCUGGGUGGCUCCCAUGGGGACGACGCCCUGA
rnacentral:rRNA from 1 species